GAUGAACGCUGGCGGCGUGCUUAACACAUGCAAGUCGAACGAAGCACUUUAUUUGAUUUCCUUCGGGACUGAUUAUUUUGUGACUGAGUGGCGGACGGGUGAGUAACGCGUGGGUAACCUGCCUUGUACAGGGGGAUAACAGUUGGAAACGGCUGCUAAUACCGCAUAAGCGCACGGCAUCGCAUGAUGCAGUGUGAAAAACUCCGGUGGUAUAAGAUGGACCCGCGUUGGAUUAGCUAGUUGGUGAGGUAACGGCCCACCAAGGCGACGAUCCAUAGCCGACCUGAGAGGGUGACCGGCCACAUUGGGACUGAGACGCGGCCCAAACUCCUACGGGAGGCAGCAGUGGGGAAUAUUGCACAAUGGGCGAAAGCCUGAUGCAGCGACGCCGCGUGAGCGAAGAAGUAUUUCGGUAUGUAAAGCUCUAUCAGCAGGGAAGAUAAUGACGGUACCUGACGAAGAAGCACCGGCUAAAUACGUG
rnacentral:rRNA from 1 species